CAAGCAUAUCAAUAAGCGGAGGAAAAGAAACCAACCGGGAUUGCCUCAGUAACGGCGAGUGAAGCGGCAAGAGCUCAAAUUUGAAAGCUGGCUCCUUCGGGGUCCGCAUUGUAAUUUGCAGAGGAUGCUUCGGGUGCGGCCCCUGUCUAAGUGCCCUGGAACGGGCCGUCAGAGAGGGUGAGAAUCCCGUCUGGGAUGGGGUGUCCGCGCCCGUGUGAAGCUCCUUCGACGAGUCGAGUUGUUUGGGAAUGCAGCUCUAAAUGGGUGGUAAAUUUCAUCUAAAGCUAAAUACUGGCCGGAGACCGAUAGCGCACAAGUAGAGUGAUCGAAAGAUGAAAAGCACUUUGAAAAGAGAGUUAAAAAGCACGUGAAAUUGUUGAAAGGGAAGCGCUUGCGACCAGACUCGCCUCCAGGGUUCAGCCGGCAUUCGUGCCGGUGUACUUCCCUGGGGGCGGGCCAGCGUCGGUUUGGGCGGCCGGUCAAAGGCUCCCGGAAUGUAGUGCCCUCCGGGGCACCUUAUAGCCGGGAGUGCAAUGCGGCCAGCCUGGACCGAGGAACGCGCUUCGGCACGGACGCUGGCAUAAUGGUCGUAAACGACCCGUCUUGAAACACGGACCAAGGAGUCUAACAUCUACGCGAGUGUUCGGGUGUCAAACCCGUACGCGCAGUGAAAGCGAACGGAGGUGGGAGCCCCCUCGUGGGGCGCACCAUCGACCGAUCCUGAUGUCUUCGGAUGGAUUUGAGUAAGAGCGUAAAUGUGGGGACCCGAAAGAUGGUGAACUAUGCCUGAAUAGGGCGAAGCCAGAGGAAACUCUGGUGGAGGCUCGCAGCGGUUCUGACGUGCAAAUCGAUCGUCAAAUUUGGGUAUAGGGGCGAAAGACUAAUCGAACCAUCUAGUAGCUGGUUCCUGCCGAA
rnacentral:rRNA from 1 species